AGGCCUGUAACUCAACGGUUAGAGUGUUUGUUUUAUAAGCGAAAAAUGGUGGUUCGAUCCCACCCAGGCUCA
rnacentral:tRNA from 1 species